rnacentral:rRNA from 1 species
UACGUAGGGUGCGAGCGUUGUCCGGAAUUAUUGGGCGUAAAGAGCUUGUAGGCGGUUUGUCGCGUCUGCUGUGAAAAUCCGGGGCUCAACCCCGGACUUGCAGUGGGUACGGGCAGACUAGAGUGUGGUAGGGGAGACUGGAAUUCCUGGUGUAGCGGUGGAAUGCGCAGAUAUCAGGAGGAACACCAAUGGCGAAGGCAGCUCGCUGGGACGGUACUGACGCUGAGACGCGAAAGCGUGGGGAGCAAACAGG